UGACCUACGGGAGGCAGCAGUAGGGAAUCUUCCACAAUGGACGAAAGUCUGAUGGAGCAACGCCGCGUGAGUGAAGAAGGGUUUCGGCUCGUAAAGCUCUGUUGGAGGGGAAAAAGAGCGGAGAGAGGAAAUGAACUCCGAUUGAUAUUACCCUUCGAGGAAGUCACGGCUAACUACGUGCCAGCAGCCGCGGUAAUACGUAGGUGGCGAGCGUUAUCCGGAAUGAUUGGGCGUAAAGGGUGCGUAGGCGGCCUGCUAAGUCUGGAGUGAAAGAUACCGGCUCAACCGGUACAGG
rnacentral:rRNA from 1 species